UGCCACACUCCAUCUUCCUCUUCUCCUUGGCUCUGCCACGCCGCCUUCAUCAUCAUGACUUCCUUUUCUGCCUUCUCAACCACCCACCCAUAACCUCUCCAUUCUUCAACCACAGUGAAAUCCACCCUUAUCCGUCAUACAUGAACCAACACCAUGUCCGACCGACCUUAGACACGCAUAACACAACGACCAUGCUUCAUAUGACCGCACAUGUUGAAGCAACACGAUUUCACUUCCACGGUUAGUAACAUAAAGGCAUUAAGUAUCAUUUGAAUCAACUCAGUCAGGUUUUAUCAGGAAGAGAUUCAGGCUUAACAAUAAAGGAGAUUUCAAAACAACAGCAACAACUUGCAGCUUCCAUUGACGGUUUCACUCGCAUAGUGUUCGGUAUAUUUCUAUCCGAAUUUCAUCCUGUUUGAGUUGUGUAUCAUUUCAAUUUGGUUAUGUUCUUGUUUGUUUGCUAGCUUGAUUUAGUUUCCAAUUAUGUUAUAAUUCAAUUCCGAGUUUUAGAUCCAUCUGUGGUCAGUUUUUACAUUCUGGAUUGUGCUUUCUGUGUUGAUGUUAGAAUCUAAGUUUGUUUGUCGCAUUUAGUUUUCGAUUUGAUUUCGGAUUGUUUCAUUUUUGUCAUUUAACUUUUGAUAUUGUUUGUGCAUAUUAAGUUGUGAGUUGCUGCUGUAUUGAGAUCUUGAAAUUACAACUCAUAUGCUUUUUAUUAUCAACUGAUAUUGUUAGGAUUAAUUACUUAGUGGUAUGUGUUCUACUAUUAUAUAGACUUGUUUUGUUUUAGUAAGAUAGUUGCUACUGUAUUGAGAUUUUGAAAUUACAACUCAUAUGCUUUUUAUUAUCAACUGAUAUUGUUAGGAUUAAUUACUUAGUGAUAUGUGUUCUACUAUUAUAGAUACUUGUUUUGUUUUAGUAAGAUAGUUGCUACUGUAUUGAAAUAUUGAAAUUACAAC
rnacentral:lncRNA from 1 species